rnacentral:rRNA from 1 species
GACGAGCGCUGGCGGCGUGCUUAACACAUGCAAGUCGAACGAAGAGCGACGGAAGCUUGCUUCCAUCAAUCUUAGUGGCGAACGGGUGAGUAACGCGUAAUCAACCUGCCCUUCAGAGGGGGACAACAGUUGGAAACGACUGCUAAUACCGCAUACGAUCUGACCUCGGCAUCGAGGAUAGAUGAAAGGUGGCCUCUAUUUAUAAGCUAUCACUGAAGGAGGGGAUUGCGUCUGAUUAGCUAGUUGGAGGGGUAACGGCCCACCAAGGCGAUGAUCAGUAGCCGGUCUGAGAGGAUGAACGGCCACAUUGGGACUGAGACACGGCCCAGACUCCUACGGGAGGCAGCAGUGGGGAAUCUUCCGCAAUGGACGAAAGUCUGACGGAGCAACGCCGCGUGAGUGAUGACGGCCUUCGGGUUGUAAAGCUCUGUUAAUCGGGACGAAAGGCCUUCUUGCGAAUAGUUAGGAGG